rnacentral:rRNA from 1 species
GACAAACGCGUGGCGGGCGUGCUUAACACAUGCAAGUCGAACGGAAAGGCCUUUUCGGAGGUACUCGAGUGGCGAACGGGUGAGUAACACGGUGGAGUGAUCUGCCCUGCACUCUGAGAUAAGCCUGGGAAACUGGGUCUAAUACCAGAUAGGACUGCUCUUUAGUGUGUGUGGAGGAAAUUUUUUUCAGUGUAAGAUGACCCCGCUCCCUAUCAGCGUGGUGGUGGUGUAAUGCCCUACCAACGCCGAGACGGAUAACCAGACUGAGAGGUUGGUCCCCCACGUUGGAACUGAUAUACCGCCCCUACUCCUGGAGGAAGCAGUGAUGAAUAAUAUUGGAUGGUGGGCGCGAUGCUGAUGCAACGCACGCCGGAGGAGGAUGACCGCCUGUAGAUUCCAAACUCUCGUCACGAAGGAACAUGUGACUUGGUGUCGCUGCAAUAAAAAAAGACCCACCUACUACCUUGCCUGCCAGCAAAUACAUAUGUAGGGUAGCGUGCCCGGGCUUGUACUGUCUGUACGGAGCGAGCUCGUAGUGGUUUGUCCGUCGUCUGUGAAAUUCCACAGCUUAACUGUGGUCGUGCAGGCGAUACGGGCUGACUUGAGUACUGUAGGGGUAACUGGAAUUCCUGGUGUAGCGGUGAAAUGCGCAGAUAUCAGGAGGAACACCGAUGGCGAAGGCAGGUUACUGGGCAGUUACUGACGCUGAGGAGCGAAAGCAUGGGUAGCAAACAGGAUUAGAUACCCUGGUAGUCCAUGCCGUAAACGGUGGGCGCUAGGUGUAGGGGCCUUUUGGGGUUUCUGUGCCGUAGCUAACGCAUUAAGCGCCCCGCCUGGGGAGUACGGCCGCAAGGCUAAAACUCAAAGGAAUUGACGGGGGCCCGCACAAGCGGCGGAGCAUGUGGAUUAAUUCGAUGCAACGCGAAGAACCUUACCUGGGCUUGACAUACACCAGAUCGCUGCAGAGAUGUAGUUUCCCUUGUGGCUGGUGUACAGGUGGUGCAUGGCUGUCGUCAGCUCGUGUCGUGAGAUGUUGGGUUAAGUCCCGCAACGAGCGCAACCCUUGUCUUAUGUUGCCAGCACGUUAUGGUGGGGACUCAUGAGAGACUGCCGGGGUUAACUCGGAGGAAGGUGGGGACGACGUCAAGUCAUCAUGCCCCUUAUGUCCAGGGCUUCACACAUGCUACAAUGGCCGGUACAAUGCGCAGCGAGCCUGUGAGGGUGAGCUAAUCGCUUAAAGCUGGUCUUAGUUCGGAUUGGGGUCUGCAACUCGACCCCACGAAGUCGGAGUCGCUAGUAAUCGCAGAUCAGCAAUGCUGCGGUGAAUACGUUCCCGGGCCU